rnacentral:rRNA from 1 species
UACGGAGGAUGCAAGCGUUAUCCGGAUUCAUUGGGUUUAAAGGGUGCGUAGGCGGAAUGAUAAGUCAGUGGUGAAAUCCUACAGCUCAACUGUAGAACUGCCAUUGAUACUGUUGUUCUUGAGUACAUUUGAAGUGGGCGGAAUGUGUCAUGUAGCGGUGAAAUGCAUAGAGAUGACACAGAACACCGAUUGCGAAGGCAGCUCACUAAACUGUAACUGACGCUGAGGCACGAAAGCGUGGGGAUCAAACAGGAUUAGAUACCCUGGUAGUCCACGCUGUAAACGAUGAUCACUCGAUGUUGGCGAUAAACUGUCAGCGUCCAAGCGAAAGCAUUAAGUGAUCCACCUGGGGAGUACGGUCGCAAGAUUGAA